rnacentral:lncRNA from 1 species
GCGAUCCCGGAGGGAGCGCUCCGGGCCUGGCGCGCACCCGACCCCAUGCGCGUUCCGGCUCCGCGCGCCUGUGAGGCCGGGGCCGGCGGCUGAACGGCUUGGAACCCGAAACGCCUCGGCUUUCCUGCGGACCCGCGCGCGGCCGCUGCCCCCGGACGCUUGAGAAGAGGCAGAGUCUCGCUUUGUUGUCCAGGCUGGUCUUGAACUCCUGAGCUCAAGUGAUCCUCCCGCCUUGGCCUCCCAGAGUGCUGAGAUUACAGAGAGAGAAUGCUAAUGAGCUGUGAAAUGACCAAAGAUCUGGCAGCAGAAGGGAAGAGAAAAAAUAAUGGAAUAUUUUCUGUCCACAAUUGGUUGAAUCUGUGGAUGUGGAAACUGCAGAUACAGAUGAAGAGCCGACUAUACUAGCUUUUUGUUUUCUUUUUCACUUCUGGUGUGUGUGUAUGUGUGUGGGUGUGUGUGUGUGUUUUAUUAAUCUCUUUGCCUGCAUAUUAGUUUCUUCCUCUUUAUUUGGAUUUUCACUAACAUUCUUUUCAGCUUCUUUAGUUGGAUACUUGUUGCCAAUAUACUUUUUUCAUUAUAAGAAUUAAAUAAAUGGGCCAGGCGUGGUGGCUCAUGCCUGUAAUCCCAUCACUUUGGGAGGCCGAGGUGGGUGGAUCACAAGGUUAGGUGUUCAAGACCAACUUGGCCAAAGCUGGUGAAACUCCAUCUCUACUGAAAAUACAAAAAUUAGCUGGGCAUGGUGGUGAACGUCUAUAAUCCCAGAUACUCAGGAAGCUGAGGCAGGAGAAUCACUUGAGCCCGGUAAGUGGAGGUUGCGGUGAGCCAAGAUUGUGCCAUUGCACCCCAGCCUGGGCAACAGAGCGAGACUCCAUCUCAAAAAAAAAAAAAAAAAAAAGAGUAAAUGAAUGUAUUAAUCACCAAACCGCUCUUCACCAGAAACUCUUAGCAGUAGUAUGUUGAGGUCUCCCUGUCUACCGUAUAUGUCUGUUAACUGUGUGUGUGCAUAUAUUUUGUCAUGGGUCUGUUUAACAAUAUUGUACUAUUUCCCAAUUUUCUAAGUAUGUUCAUUUCAGAGUUUAUCCCAUUCUUUGUUCUUUCUUUCUUUUAAAAAUUUCUGUGACUGAGCCGGACACGGUGGCUCAAGCCUGUAAUCCUAGCACUUUGGGAGGCUGAGGCGGGUGGAUCGCCGGAGGACAGCAGUUCCAGACCAGUCUGGCCAACACAGUGAAACCCUGUCUCUACUGAAAACACAAAAAAUUAGCUGGACAUGGUGGCAGGUGCCUGUAAUCCCAGCUACUAGGGAGGCUGAGGCAGGAGAAUCUCUUGAAUCUAGGAAGUGGAGGUUGCAGUGAGCCGAGAUCGUACCAUUGCACUCCAUCCUGGGCAACAAGAGUGAAACUCCAUCUCAAAAAAAAAAAAAAA